rnacentral:miRNA from 1 species
CAUUAUACAAAUAAUAAAUGUUUUUAUGAGUGCAAUGGUAAGAAUAUUUUCAUGAGGUGAAAGAUGGAAUGUUCCAUUCAACGAGGCGACAGCCGAGUUGAAUGGAACAUUCCAUCUUUCACCUCAUGAAAAUAUUCUUACCAUUGCACUCAUAAAAACAUUCAUUAUUUGUUUUAUU